rnacentral:rRNA from 1 species
CCAGACUCCUACGGGAGGCAGCAGUGGGGAAUAUUGGGCAAUGGGCGCAAGCCUGACCCAGCAACGCCGCGUGAAGGAAGAAGGCUUUCGGGUUGUAAACUUCCUUUCUGGGGGACGAAGAAAGUGACGGUACCCCAGGAAUAGGCCACGACUAACUACGUGCCAGCAGCCGCGGUAAUACGUAGGUGGCAAGCGUUAUCCGGAUUUAUUGGGUGUAAAGGGCGUGUAGGCGGGAAUGCAAGUCAGAUGUGAAAACUAGGGGCUCAACCCAUAGCCUGCAUUUGAAACUGUAUUUCUUGAGUGCUGGAGAGGCAAGCGGAACUCCGUGUGUAGCGGUGAAAUGCGUAGAUAUACGGAGGAACACCAGUGGCGAAGGCGGAUUGCUGGACAUUAACUGACGCUGAGGCGCGAAAGCGUGGGGAGCAAACAGGAUUAGAUACCCUGGUA